rnacentral:rRNA from 1 species
GUGGGGAAUAUUGGACAAUGGGCGAAAGCCUGAUCCAGCCAUGCCGCGUGUGUGAAGAAGGCCUUUUGGUUGUAAAGCACUUUAAGCGAGGAGGAGGCUACCGAGAUUAAUACUCUUGGAUAGUGGACGUUACUCGCAGAAUAAGCACCGGCUAACUCUGUGCCAGCAGCCGCGGUAAUACAGAGGGUGCAAGCGUUAAUCGGAUUUACUGGGCGUAAAGCGCGCGUAGGUGGCCAAUUAAGUCAAAUGUGAAAUCCCCGAGCUUAACUUGGGAAUUGCAGUCGAUACUGGUUGGCUAGAGUAUGGGAGAGGAUGGUAGAAUUCCAGGUGUAGCGGUGAAGUGCGUAGAGAUCUGGAGGAAUACCGAUGGCGAAGGCAGCCAUCUGGCCUAAUACUGACACUGAGGUGCGAAAGCAUGGGGAGCAAACAGGAUUAGAAACCCGUGUAGUCC